CUGGCGGCGUGCCUAAUACAUGCAAGUCGAACGGUCUUUCUAUGGAAGCUUGCUUCCACUGAGAAGAUAGUGGCGAACGGGUGAGUAACACGUGGGUAACCUGCCCAUAAGAGGGGGAUAACAUCCGGAAACGGGUGCUAAUACCGCAUAGUUUUCUUGAUCGCAUGAUCGGGAAAGGAAAGACGGCCUUUGUGCUGUCGCUUAUGGAUGGACCCGCGGCGUAUUAGUUAGUUGGUGAGGUAACGGCUCACCAAGGCGAUGAUACGUAGCCGACCUGAGAGGGUGAUCGGCCACAUUGGGACUGAGACACGGCCCAAACUCCUACGGGAGGCAGCAGUAGGGAAUCUUCCGCAAUGGACGAAAGUCUGACGGAGCAACGCCGCGUGAGUGAAGAAAGGUUUUCGGAUCGUAAAACUCUGUUGUCAGAGAAGAACAAGUUGGAGAGUAACUGCUCCAGCCUUGACGGUAUCUGACCAGAAAGCCACGGCUAACUACGUGCCAGCAGCGGC
rnacentral:rRNA from 1 species